AUUGAACGCUGUCGGCAUGCUUUACACAUGCAAGUCGAACGGCAGCGCGGGCUUCGGCCUGGCGGCGAGUGGCGAACGGGUGAGUAAUACAUCGGAACGUGCCCAGUAGCGGGGGAUAGCUCGGCGAAAGCCGGAUUAAUACCGCAUACGACCUGAGGGUGAAAGCGGGGGAUCUUCGGACCUCGCGCUAUUGGAGCGGGCGAUAGCAGAUUAGCUAGUUGGUGGGGUAAAGGCCUACCAAGGCGACGAUCUGUAGCUGGUCUGAGAGGACGACCAGCCACACUGGGACUGAGACACGGCCCAGACUCCUACGGGAGGCAGCAGUGGGGAAUUUUGGACAAUGGGCGAAAGCCUGAUCCAGCAAUGCCGCGUGUGUGAUGAAGGCCUUCGGGUUGUAAAGCACUUUUGGCGGGAACGAAAAGGACUGUGCCAAUACCACGGUUCGAUGACGGUACCCGCAGAAUAAGCACCGGCUAACUACGUG
rnacentral:rRNA from 1 species